AUUGAACGCUGGCGGCAGGCCUAACACAUGCAAGUCGAGCGGAUGAAGGGAGCUUGCUCCUGGAUUCAGCGGCGGACGGGUGAGUAAUGCCUAGGAAUCUGCCUGGUAGUGGGGGAUAACGUCCGGAAACGGGCGCUAAUACCGCAUACGUCCUAAGGGAGAAAGUGGGGGAUCUUCGGACCUCACGCUAUCAGAUGAGCCUAGGUCGGAUUAGCUAGUUGGUGGGGUAAAGGCCUACCAAGGCGACGAUCCGUAACUGGUCUGAGAGGAUGAUCAGUCACACUGGAACUGAGACACGGUCCAGACUCCUACGGGAGGCAGCAGUGGGGAAUAUUGGACAAUGGGCGAAAGCCUGAUCCAGCCAUGCCGCGUGUGUGAAGAAGGUCUUCGGAUUGUAAAGCACUUUAAGUUGGGAGGAAGGGCAGUAAGUUAAUACCUUGCUGUUUUGACGUUACCAACAGAGUAAGCACCGGCUAACUUCGUG
rnacentral:rRNA from 1 species